rnacentral:misc_RNA from 1 species
GUAUAUGUUAAUGUAAUUGAUGAACGUAGUCAUUUGCUACAUCAACUCUACUGCACAUGAUGCCAAGAACUCUAUUACAUUGUUACAAAAGAACCAAUAGUCGUUAUCGAUAAGAAACAUCACAUAGUAACACUGAAAGAAUUAACAAAGAAUAGAGGGGAGGACUAUCACUGCAUCUAUUCGGACUUGUUUGCUUUUGUAGACAACUUUCUCUUCAUUCUGCUGAAAGGUCCAACUGUUCGAUCCAUUAUGUACAUGUAGAUUACCUGGCUCCAAGAUUUGUAAGCAUCUAAGUUUUCAUAAUAUUCUGGUGCAAUCUCCUUCACCUUGUAGAGCUUGCUUCCGGGAAUUCUGGGAAAAUCAUGGUGCUCAUUGUGGUAUCCUACACUCCAUGUCAUGAGGUUAAGGGGUCCGUAAUAGGAGUAUGUCUCUUGCUCAGGCUUGAAGACAUAAUGCUCAGAGAUGAAGUGACCAGCCAUUGGAUGCAUCCCGCCCCCAACAAACGUGGAUAGGAUAAGAUAAGCUAGCGACUUCCAGCCCCAGAAGUAAACCAUAGCUCCAUCAAGGGAUAGCUGGAUAGUAAAGUUAAUGAACUCCCACAGACCAGGUGGUUUAGGUUUUAGAAAAAGAGGCCUGAAUGCAUAA